rnacentral:tRNA from 1 species
GCCGGGGUGGCGGAAUUGGUAGACGCACAGGACUUAAAAUCCUGUGUCCUGCAAAGGGCGUGCGGGUUCGAGUCCCGCCCUCGGCACGA